rnacentral:rRNA from 1 species
GAUGAACGCUGGCGGCGUGCCUAAUACAUGCAAGUCGAGCGAACAGAUGAGGAGCUUGCUCCUCUGACGUUAGCGGCGGACGGGUGAGUAACACGUGGAUAACCUACCUAUAAGACUGGGAUAACUUCGGGAAACCGGAGCUAAUACCGGAUAAUAUAUUGAACCGCAUGGUUCAAUAGUGAAAGACGGUUUUGCUGUCACUUAUAGAUGGAUCCGCGCCGCAUUAGCUAGUUGGUAAGGUAACGGCUUACCAAGGCGACGAUGCGUAGCCGACCUGAGAGGGUGAUCGGCCACACUGGAACUGAGACACGGUCCAGACUCCUACGGGAGGCAGCAGUAGGGAAUCUUCCGCAAUGGGCGAAAGCUUGACGGAGCAACGCCGCGUGAGUGAUGAAGGUCUUCGGAUCGUAAAACUCUGUUAUUAGGGAAGAACAAAUGUGUAAGUAACUAUGCACGUCUUGACGGUACCUAAUCAGAGAGCCACGGCUAACUACGUG